rnacentral:rRNA from 1 species
UACGAAGGGGGCUAGCGUUGUUCGGAAUUACUGGGCGUAAAGCGUGCGCAGGCGGCUUCUCAAGUCAGGGGUGAAAGCCCAGAGCUCAACUCUGGAAUUGCCUUUGAGACUGAGUGGCUUGAGUACGAGAGAGGUGAGUGGAGUACCUCAGUGUAGAGGUGAAAUUCGUAGAUAUUGGGAAGAACACCGGUGGCGAAGGCGGCUCACUGGCUCAUUUCUGACGCUCAGGCGCGACAGCGUGGGGAUCAAACAGG